GUGGGGAAUAUUGGACAAUGGGGGGAACCCUGAUCCAGCCAUGCCGCGUGUGUGAAGAAGGCCUUUUGGUUGUAAAGCACUUUAAGCGAGGAGGAGGCUACCGAGAUUAAUACUCUUGGAUAGUGGACGUUACUCGCAGAAUAAGCACCGGCUAACUCUGUGCCAGCAGCCGCGGUAAUAAAGAGGGUGCAAGCGUUAAUCGGAUUUACUGGGCGUAAAGCGCGCGUAGGUGGCCAAUUAAGUCAAAUGUGAAAUCCCCGAGCUUAACUUGGGAAUUGCAUUCGAUACUGGUUGGCUAGAGUAUGGGAGAGGAUGGUAGAAUUCCAGGUGUAGCGGUGAAAUGCGUAGAAAUCUGGAGGAAUACCGAUGGCGAAGGCAGCCAUCUGGCCUAAUACUGACACUGAGGUGCGAAAGCAUGGGGAGCAAACAGGAUUAGAAACCCUUGUAGUCC
rnacentral:rRNA from 1 species